CCUCAGCGCUGAGCUCCAACCCCUCCCAUCUGAGAGAGCUGGACCUGAGCUACAAUCAUCCAGGAGACUCAGGAAUGAAGCUGCUGUCUGCUGGACUGAAGGAUCCAGGCUGGAGACUGGACACUCUCAGGGUGGAGCCUGCUGGAGUCCGAUGGUUGAGACCAGGUCUGAGGAAGUAUUCCUGUCAACUCACAAUCGACACAAAC